UACAGAGGGGGCAAGCGUUGUUCGGAAUUACUGGGCGUAAAGGGCGCGUAGGCGGCCUGUUAAGUCGAACGUGAAAUCCCCGGGCUCAACCCGGGAACUGCGUCCGAUACUGGCAGGCUUGAAUUCGGGAGAGGGAUGCAGAAUUCCAGGUGUAGCGGUGAAAUGCGUAGAUAUCUGGAGGAAUACCGGUGGCGAAGGCGGCAUCCUGGACCGACAUUGACGCUGAGGAGCGAAAGCCAGGGGAGCAAACGGG
rnacentral:rRNA from 1 species